rnacentral:rRNA from 1 species
CAGGGUUCUGGCGUAGGUAGGAAGACCCGCUGAACUGAA